GCCUUUGUGGCUUAGUGGUAAAGCGUCGCACUCGUAUCUUUUACUAUUUUAAUGCGAAGAUCAUCGGUUCAAUUCCGAUCGGAGGCA